rfam:Capsaspora owczarzaki ATCC 30864 unplaced genomic scaffold supercont2.11, whole genome shotgun sequence.
GCCCCAAUCUUCUAAUGGUUAGGAAACGGGAUUCAUAACCCCGCAAUCUGAGUUCGAUUCUCAGUUGGGGCA